rnacentral:rRNA from 1 species
CAGCCGCCGCGGUAAUACGAAGGGUGCAAGCGUUAAUCGGAAUUACUGGGCGUAAAGCGUGCGUAGGCGGUUUGUUAAGUCUGCUGUGAAAUCCCCGGGCUCAACCUGGGAAUGGCAGUGGAUACUGGCAAGCUAGAGUGUGUCAGAGGAUGGUGGAAUUCCCGGUGUAGCGGUGAAAUGCGUAGAGAUCGGGAGGAACAUCAGUGGCGAAGGCGGCCAUCUGGGACAACACUGACGCUGAGGCACGAAAGCGUGGGGAGCAAACAGGAUUAGAUACCCCUGUAGUCCCUGUCUCUUAUAC